GUUGAGAAAACUCUUCAUGAAUGCAUACACACAAUGAAAGGGUGCUACGUAGACCAAAAGGGUAAACAUUUCUGAGUCUGGGUGGAUCGUGUAUUAUCCACACCAAUUGGCUCAAGCACGUGGUUAGUGAAGUUUGAUAAGUGGGAAUUGUCUGGAAAUGAGCGCUGUUGUUGUGUGACCACUGCUAAAAUAAAUGCAAAGGGAUCCGGUGCUUCAGACGGGUACACUUGGAUGAAUGUGCAGCAAAAGUGGUUAGAAGGGUAUGAAAAAAAGGAUGAUUCAACCUGGCUUUUCUAAGGUACACUGCAACACCAUUCUGAAUCUGGAAUCAUUAUCAAAGAAUAAA